GCAAAUACUGUAUCAGAUUUUUUUGGGUGAAAGUGUUACGAAGAGCCAACAAAGGGGUUGGCUCUUUAUACCCAGUCCUGUCUGCCACUAAGUUGUUGUUCGGAAAUGUGUAGGGCUGCUGGUUGCAAUUAGCCAAGUUAUCGUUCCAUUAGAGAGGGGUUCCAUUUGACAGCUCGCCGCCUGGGACAGGGAGCUCGCGCUCUGCCUCUCUGCCUUACCCAUGAUGGCGACCCAAGAAGCGGACAUGUCGCGGCGCAGUAUGAGGCUGGUUUUAGGGGGAUACUACCACCAGUCAUCAGACGAUGAUGAGUCCUCAGUUUCCUACAGGGAGAGCCCCGUGAGGGUUUUUACUAAGAGGAAGACAGGUGGUCGUAAAGUGGCGGCCUCUCGUACCUCCAGCCGGGCCAACAGCGUGGCUAGCACCGCUAGCAGCAAGGGUAGUACAGUGGAGCCACCCAUCAAUGCUGAGGACUACAUUGGGGUCUCAAGCUUGGUUCAGAGGAGGAAGACCUUCCAGGAACCUCCGGCCCCAGCUCCCAGCCUGAACCUGGCUCCCAGCCCCAGGGGCUUCUCGUCCUGCCAGACCGGACUGAACCAGGCCCAGAGCCAUAGCAGCGCCAUAGACAGCUCUGGUUACUCCUCUUCAGAGGCAAGACGUUACAGAGGAUACUCUGGAGACUCCUCCUUAGGCGAACAAAGGGUUAGCGCCAGCCAGAGAUCUGGCACUAACAGGACAAGUGCUAGUGCCAGCUGGACCCCUCCGUUUAUCCCGGCCAAUGUGGGGAAGGCCAUUCUAAUUGCCAUCCUCCUCAUACUCUUGACCUUCGGCUGCUGGCUCCUUGCCCCUUUGGUAUGGGCCACCCUGACUUCAGCCCUGAAUGCUAUCACUAUGACCCUGAACCGACCUGUCAUCACCCCGACUCCGCCACCUGACUUCACUACGCCACCUGUCUUCACUCCGC
rnacentral:lncRNA from 1 species